AAAACAUAUAAUAGUUUUGUUUGUGGAAACACCACGUAAAUUUUUACUGAGUAAUAAAUUUACGUGGUGUUUCCACAGACAAAACUAUUAUAAAGUUAGUUUUGUUUC
rnacentral:miRNA from 1 species